rnacentral:rRNA from 1 species
CACGUAGGGCGCGAGCGUUGUCCGGAAUUAUUGGGCGUAAAGAGCUCGUAGGCGGCCUGUUGCGUCCGCUGUGAAAGCCCGGGGCUUAACCCCGGGUCUGCAGUGGAUACGGGCAGGCUAGAGGUAGGUAGGGGAGAAUGGAAUUCCCGGUGUAGCGGUGAAAUGCGCAGAUAGUCGGGAGGAACACCGGUGGCGAAGGCGGUUCUCUGGGCCUUACCUGACGCUGAGGAGCGAAAGCGUGGGGAGCGAACAGG